UACGUAGGGUGCAAGCGUUAAUCGGAAUUACUGGGCGUAAAGCGUGCGCAGGCGGUUUUGUAAGUUUGUCGUGAAAUCCCCGGGCUCAACCUGGGAAUUGCGAUGAAGACUGCAAGGCUAGAAUCUGGCAGAGGGGGGUAGAAUUCCACGUGUAGCAGUGAAAUGCGUAGAGAUGUGGAGGAACACCGAUGGCGAAGGCAGCCCCCUGGGUCAAGAUUGACGCUCAUGCACGAAAGGCGUGGGGAGCAAACAGG
rnacentral:rRNA from 1 species